UGGGAACGUACCCUUCAGUUCGGAACAACCCAGGGAAACUUAGGGCUAAUACCAGGAUACGUCCGUAAGGAGAAAGAUUUAUCGCUGAAGGAUCGGCCCGCGUCUGAUUAGCUUGUUGGUGAGGUAACGGCUCACCAAGGCUACGAUCAGUAGCUGGUCUGAGAGGAUGAUCAGCCUCACUGGGACUGAGACACGGCCCAGACUCCUACGGGAGGCAGCAGUGGGGAAUAUUGGACAAUGGGCGCAAGCCUGAUCCAGCCAUGCCGCGUGGAUGAUGAAGGCCCUAGGGUUGUAAAGUCCUUUCGGCGGGGAAGAUAAUGACGGUACCCGCAGAAGAAGCCCCGGCUAACUUCGUGCCAGCCGCCGCGG
rnacentral:rRNA from 1 species